rnacentral:rRNA from 1 species
ACGCUCGACACCUACGGAGGCAGCAGUAGGGAAUCUUCCACAAUGGGCGCAAGCCUGAUGGAGCAACACCGCGUGAGUGAAGAAGGGUUUCGGCUCGUAAAGCUCUGUUGUUGGAGAAGAACGUGCGUGAGAGUAACUGUUCACGCAGUGACGGUAUCCAACCAGAAAGUCACGGCUAACUACGUGCCAACGAGCCGCGGUAAUCUGAGCGGGCUGGCAAGGC